rnacentral:rRNA from 1 species
GUGGGGUAACGGCCUACCAAGGCGACGACGGGUAGCCGGCCUGAGAGGGCGACCGGCCACACUGGGACUGAGACACGGCCCAGACUCCUACGGGAGGCAGCAGUGGGGAAUAUUGCGCAAUGGGCGAAAGCCUGACGCAGCGACGCCGCGUGGGGGAUGAAGGCCUUCGGGUUGUAAACCCCUUUCAGCAGGGACGAAGCGAAAGUGACGGUACCUGCAGAAGAAGCGCCGGCUAACUACGUGCCAGCAGCCGCGGUAACACGUAGGGCGCAAGCGUUGUCCGGAAUUAUUGGGCGUAAAGAGCUCGUAGGCGGUCUGUUGCGUCCGCUGUGAAAACUCGGGGCUUAACCCCGAGCCUGCAGUGGAUACGGGCAGACUAGAGGUAGGUAGGGGAGAAUGGAAUUCCCGGUGUAGCGGUGAAAUGCGCAGAUAUCGGGAGGAACACCGGUGGCGAAGGCGGUUCUCUGGGCCUUACCUGACGCUGAGGAGCGAAAGCGUGGGGAGCGAACAGGAUUAGAUACCCUGGUAGUCCACGCCGUAAACGUUGGGCGCUAGGUGUGGGAUCCUUCCACGGAUUCCGUGCCGCAGCUAACG